AAGAAUUUGGCAGAUGCUCUAGAUCUGGAGUCAGGUUAUUGUGAAGUGCCUGCUUCCCUGCAUGAUCAGUGGAUACUGUUACACACUGACUGCAGUCAUGUCACCAUCUGGAACAUCAAGGAUGUGGAGAAAGAGGAACACUCCUCCACUGCCGGUGGGGCUGUAACAUGGUACAACCACUGUGGAAAUCAGUCUGGAGGUUCCUCAGAAAACUGGACAUGAGACUUCCAGAGGACCCUGCUAUACCUCUCCUGGGCAUAUACCCAAAGGAUUCCCCGGCAUGCAAUAAAGACACAUGCUCCAUUAUGUUCAUAGCAGCCUUAUUUAUAAUA